rnacentral:pre_miRNA from 1 species
AGUGAGAUAACUGGGUCGAAUGGUGGUUCCAUUCCAAGUUUUCUGAGGAAUCUCCAAACUGCUUUCCAGAUUGGGUGCACCAGUUUGCAAUCCCACCAGCAAU